rnacentral:rRNA from 1 species
UCUGAAUCUGCGAACGGCUCCGCAAACCAGUUGUAAACAAUAGCAAGCAAGCCCAGGCUGGGCCCUCACGGGCUUGGUCUGGGCAACACGGAUAACCCUGGUAAUUCUGAGGCUAAUACGACAACGCAACCCCUGGUCGACCGGGCAACUGGAAGGCUGGGAAGCGUGUACUAGAUCACGAGGAUGAAACCGGGAAAGGAUGCACGCUUGGACCGCGCUAAAAAGGAUCAGGUGACCGACCUCACGGAAGGGAUCCUGGCCCCAGCGGCUCUUGCAAUGUGCUUCUGACCUAUCAACUAGAUGGCAGCGUAACGGACAUGCUAUGGU